rnacentral:tRNA from 1 species
CAGAUUAUCUUGGGUGAGUUUAUUUAUUUACAAUAAUUUAAUUUUGCUGUUCAAUUCAGCUUUGUCUGA